AUUGAACGCUGGCGGCAGGCCUAACACAUGCAAGUCGAGCGGAUGAAGGGAGCUUGCUCCUGGAUUCAGCGGCGGACGGGUGAGUAAUGCCUAGGAAUCUGCCUGGUAGUGGGGGAUAACGUCCGGAAACGGGCGCUAAUACCGCAUACGUCCUGAGGGAGAAAGUGGGGGAUCUUCGGACCUCACGCUAUCAGAUGAGCCUAGGUCGGAUUAGCUAGUUGGUGGGGUAAAGGCCUACCAAGGCGACGAUCCGUAACUGGUCUGAGAGGAUGAUCAGGCACACUGGAACUGAGACACGGUCCAGACUCCUACGGGAGGCAGCAGUGGGGAAUAUUGGACAAUGGGCGAAAGCCUGAUACAGCCAUGCCGCGUGUGUGAAGAAGGUCUUCGGAUUGUAAAGCACUUUAAGUUGGGAGGAAGGGCAGUAAGUUAAUACCUUGCUGUUUUGACGUUACCAACAGAAUAAGCACCGGCUAACUUCGUG
rnacentral:rRNA from 1 species